UCCCUGGCAGUCCAGUGGUUAAGACUCUGCACUUCCAGUGCAGGGGGCACGGUUCAAUCCCUGGUCAGGGAA
rnacentral:tRNA from 1 species